rfam:Ornithorhynchus anatinus chromosome 12, whole genome shotgun sequence.
CCCCUCUCAGGAUCAAAUCUGGACAGUUUCCAGUACUCUACCAGUCUCGGCUAUAGGCGGGAAAGUCAGGCAGAGGUAUAUCCAUUCCAUUCCUAGUCUGGGCUAGUGAAUGGAAGACAAUCUGCUACAAGU